rnacentral:snoRNA from 1 species
AAUGUUAGUUUUUAAAAGUGCUUCAUUUUGUGGAAGUACUAUCUGCUGAAAGAAAAGCUGUGAUAAUCACUUGUGACUUUGCCUUUUUGAGGGUAAAGUCAUAAUAGAUUGACAUGGUCAAUU